AUUCCAGCUCCAAUAGCGUAUAUUAAAGUUGUUGCAGUUAAAACGCUCGUAGUCGGAUUUCGGGGCGGGCCGACCGGUCUGCCGAUGGGUAUGCACUGGCCGGCGCGUCCUUCCACCCGGAGACCGCGCCUACUCUUAACUGAGCGGGCGCGGGAGACGGGUCUUUUACUUUGAAAAAAUCAGAGUGUUUCAAGCAGGCAGUCGCUCUUGCAUGGAUUAGCAUGGGAUAAUGAAAUAGGACUCUGGUGCUAUUUUGUUGGUUUCGAACACCGGAGUAAUGAUUAACAGGGACAGUUGGGGGCAUUCGUAUUUCAUUGUCAGAGGUGAAAUUCUUGGAUUUACGAAAGACGAACUUCUGCGAAAGCAUUUGCCAAGGAUGUUUUCAUUG
rnacentral:rRNA from 1 species